AUGCCAAUCAAAGCCUGCCAUCCUGCCAGGUCUGACUCAGACUGCAAUGAAACUUCUGAUGCCAGAAACCUAGGGGAGGAGAACGGAGCUGUCAAAGAUAAUCCAAAAGCAACCAUUCUCCUCUCUUCUCUUCUUUUUUCUUUCUUGCUCUUCUUUCCUUACUCUUUUUCUUUCUUUUUCUCUCUUUCCUUCCUUCCUUUUUUCUUCCUUCUUUCUUUCUUUCUUUUUUCUCUCUCUCUUUCUCUAUUUCUCUUCCUUCCUUCCUAUCUUCCUGUCUUUCUUUCUUUGUUUCUUUACUUCUCUCUCUCUUUCUUUCUUUCUUUCUUUCUUUCUUUCUUUCUUUCUUCCUUCCUUCCUUCCUUCAUUCUUCCUCCUUCUCUCCCUCCCUCCCUUCCUUCCUUCUUUCCUUCUUUCUUUCUUUUUCUCUUUCUUUCUCUAUUUCUCUCUUCCUUCCUGUCUUCCUUCCUGUCUUCCUGUCUUCCUUCCUUCCUGUCUUCCUUCCUUCCUUCCUUUCUUUCUUUCUUUCUUUCUUUCUUUCUUUCUUUCUUUCUUUCUUUCUUUCUUUCUUUCUUUCUUUCCUUCAUUCUUCCUCCCUCCCACCCUUCCUCCCUUCCUUCCUUCCUCCCUCCCUCCCUUCCUUCCUUCCUUCCUUCCUUCCUUCCUUCCUUCCUUCCUUCCUUCCUUCCUUCCUUCCUUCCUUCCCUUCCUUCCUUCCUUCCUUCCUCCCUCCCUCCCUCCCUCCCUCCCUCCCUCCCUCCCUUCCUUCCUCCCUCCCUCCCUCCCUCCCUCCCUCCCUUCCUUCCUUCCUUCCUUCCUUCCUUCCUUCCUUCCUUCCUUCCUUCCUUCCUUCCUUCCCUCUAUCUACAUCUCCCCAUUCCUCUCCUCUUCCCUUUCUCCAACUCAUUCUGCUUUCUUGAUGUAGCACACUCUCAAGAAAGGCUACCAUGUUUUUGUUUUUGUUUUUUCAUCAUUCAAGUGUCUUUACAAAGGGAGAGAUUGAACCAUCUGAGAAAAGAGUAACUUUUUCACUUGCCCUGAAAAGAGUGAGGUGGAUAUCUCUUCUUUUUUCUUUCUUUCUCUUCUUCUUUCCUUCCUCUUUCUCUCUCUUUCCUUCCUUCUUUCCUCCUUCCUUCCUUCCUUCCUUCCUUCCUUUCUAGAAUUAAUUCUUAGUAGAAUUAAGUCAAUUUCUUUAUUUAUACAAUGUGUUUCUCCAGAAGAAAAAGUGAGGAAAGGGAUAUAAACACUGAAUGGGUCGUUAAAUUUUGAUAGUUCAAAGGCUUUGUGUAGUGAUGUUUUAAAAAUUAAAACUGAGACAAAAAUUCCAUCCUGUGAUAAGAAGUGGAAUUUGUUUAUUGGUUUGUACCUUUAUUUCAAUUGACCUGGAAAACCCCUAGUGUAAAAUCUCCCUCUAGCAGUGGAAAUCAGCAAAUCCUCUGUAGCUUAAAAUAUUAGAAAAUACUUGUGGUAAUAAGAAGUUUAUAUGAUUGUGCAAUCAUAGAUUUAAGAUCAUCAGGUCUAAUCCCUUCAUUCUGAAAAUGAGGAAACUGAGGCACAGAGAAAUGAAGUGACUUUUCCAGAGUCACACAGACAAUGCAUUUUGGGGAUAAAAUUUAAAAUUGGGCUUCAUUAAUCCAAACUUGAUGCUAUACCCCAUUGUCUCUCAAAUGACAUGGAGAGGGUUUAAAGUUGUAAAGCAAUUUGUUGUGAUAUUUUGGAGCAAGCUCUUCCCAGAUCUUAAGAGCUGAUUGUUAAAAUUUCAAUAUGAGCAUUUAAACCUCUGAGAUUGGAGAUAUCUAAAUACUGGGGCUUGAUUUAUUGACUGGGCAAUUGUCUAGACUUUAAUAUAGUGUUGGGUAAAAUAUUAAUGAUGAAUAUUAAACUUAAAAGUGUAUCACAACUGAUCCAAUCAUUCUGGAAGGUAAUUUGGAAUUAUGCCCAAAGGGCACUAAAAGACUGCUCUUUGAUCCAGCAAUACCACUACUGGGUUUGUACCCCAAAGAGAUAAUAAGGAAAAACGUUUGUAUACAAAUAUUCAUAGCCAUGCUCUUUGUGGUAGCAAAAAAUUGGAAAAUGAGAGGAUGCCCCUUGAUUGAGGAAUGGCUGAACAAAUGAUGAUAUGUAAUAGUGGUGGAAUACUAUUGUACUGUUCAGAAUGAUCAAUUACUUGAUUUCUAUAUGAAAUGGAAAGGCCUCCAUGAACUGAUACGGAACAAAAUAAGCAGAACCAGAAGAACAUUGUACACAGAAAGUGAAACAUUGUGGAACAACAAAUAGCAAUGCAAUGAUCUAGGACAUCCCUGAGGGACUUUAUAAGAAAGAAUGCUACCUACAUCAAGAAAAAAAAAAACCAUGGAAGUAGAAACUCAGAAGAAAAACAUAUGAUUUAUCACUUGUUUAUAAUGGAUGCAGGAUGUGGGAUUUUGGUUUUUAAGAGAUUAUUAUAAAAAUUAAUAACAUGGAAAUAGAUAUUGAGUGAUAAUACAGGCAUGACCUUGUGGAAUUGCUUGUUGGCUCCAGGAGUGGGGAGAGGAAAGGAGAGUAAUAAAACACGAAUCAUGUAACCA
ensembl:lncRNA